GGGAUAUGAGGAGUGGUUUGGGCUCGCAAAGUUUAUGCGAGUUGGGUGUUUGCCCCAAAGCCUGGUUACGACAGUUGAGCACCCUCCAAUUUUUAUUCUGAUCCC